rnacentral:rRNA from 1 species
UACGGAGGGGGCUAGCGUUGUUCGGAAUUACUGGGCGUAAAGCGCACGUAGGCGGCUUUGUAAGUUAGAGGUGAAAGCCCAGGGCUUAACCCUGGAAUUGCCUUUAAGACUGCAUCGCUCGAAUUGUGGAGAGGUGAGUGGAAUUCCGAGUGUAGAGGUGAAAUUCGUAGAUAUUCGGAAGAACACCGGUGGCGAAGGCGACUCACUGGACACAUAUUGACGCUGAGGUGCGAAAGCGUGGGGAGCAAACAGG